rnacentral:tRNA from 1 species
GAGGGUAUAACUCAGUGGUGGAGUGCAUGCCUAGCAUGCACAAGGUCCUGGGUUCAAAUCCCCAGUAACUCCA